rnacentral:rRNA from 1 species
UGGGGAAUAUUGCACAAUGGGCGAAAGCCUGAUGCAGCGACGUCGCGUGAGGGAAGAAGUAUUUCGGUAUGUAAACCUCUGUCCUAUGUGACGAAAAGGACGGUAGCAUAGGAGGAAGCCAUGGCUAACUACGUGCCAGCAGCCGCGGUAAUACGUAGAUGGCAAGCGUUAUCCGGAAUGACUGGGCGUAAAGGGUGCGUAGGCGGUUUGAUAAGUCAGAUGUGAAAGUCCCGUGCUUAACAUGGGGAUUGCAUUUGAAACUAUCAGACUUGAGUGCAGGAGAGGGAAGUGGAAUUCCUAGUGUAGCGGUGAAAUGCGUAGAUAUUAGGAGGAACACCAGUGGCGAAGGCGACUUUCUGGACUGUAACUGACGCUGAGGCACGAAAGCGUGGGGAGCGAACAGGAUUAGAUACCCUGGUAGUCCACGCUGUAAACGAUGAAUGCUAGGUGUGGGGAGUCAAAUCUCUGUGCCGCAA